rnacentral:rRNA from 1 species
AUUGAACGCUGGCGGCAUGCCUUACACAUGCAAGUCGAACGGCAGCGGGGACUUCGGUCCGCCGGCGAGUGGCGAACGGGUGAGUAAUGUAUCGGAACGUACCAUUGAGUGGGGGAUAACGUAGCGAAAGUUACGCUAAUACCGCAUAUUCUCUCCGGAGGAAAGCAGGGGACCGCAAGGCCUUGCGCUCUUUGAGCGGCCGAUAUCAGAUUAGCUAGUUGGUGGGGUAAAAGCUCACCAAGGCGACGAUCUGUAGCGGGUCUGAGAGGAUGAUCCGCCACACUGGAGCGGAGACACGGUCCAGACUCCUACGGGAGGCAGAAGUGGGGAAUUUUGGACAAUGGGGGCAACCCUGAUCCAGCCAUGCCGCGUGAGUGAAGAAGGCCUUCGGGUUGUAAAGCUCUUUCGGCCGGGAAAAAAUCGCAUGGAUUAAUACUCUGUGUGGAUGAUGGUACCGGAAUAAGAAGCACCGGCUAACUACGUGCCAGCAGCCGCCGUAAAAC